UUUCCGGUUGAUCCCGCCGGACCUGACUGCUAUCGGAUUGAUACUAAGCCAUGCGAGUCUUUGUAGUAAUACAAGGCAUACGGCUCAGUAACACGUAGUCAACCUACCCUAUGGACGAGAAUAAUCUCGGGAAACUGAGCAUAAUUCUCGAUAGAUCAUAAUGCCUGGAAUGGUUUAUGGUUAAAAUGAUUCGUCGCCAUAGGAUGGGACUGCGGCCUAUCAGCUUGUUGGUGAGGUAAUGGCCCACCAAGGCGAUUACAGGUACGGGCUCUGAGAGGAGAAGCCCGGAGAUGGGUACUGAGACACGGACCCAGGCCCUAUGGGGCGCAGCAGGCGAGAAAACUUUGCAAUGUGCGAAAGCACGACAAGGUUAAUCCGAGUGAUUUCUGCUAAAGAAAUCUUUUGCCAGUCAUAAAACCACUGGUGAAUAAGGGGUGGGCAAGUUCUGGUGUCAGCCGCCGCGGUAAAACCAGCACCUCAAGUGGUCAGGAUGAUUAUUGGGCCUAAAGCAUCCGUAGCCGGCCUUGUAAGUUUUCGGUUAAAUCCAUGUGCUCAACGCAUGGGCUGCCGAAAAUACUGCAUGGCUAGGGAGUGGGAGAGGUAGACGGUACUCAGUAGGAAGGGGUAAAAUCCUUUGAUCUAUUGAUGACCACCUGUGGCGAAGGCGGUCUACCAGAACACGUUCGACGGUGAGGGAUGAAAGCUGGGGGAGCAAACCGGAUUAGAUACCCGGGUAGUCCCAGCUGUAAACGAUGCAGACUCGAUGAUGCAUUGGCAUAAUAGCCAGUGCAGUGUCGCAGGGAAGCCGUUAAGUCUGCCGCCUGGGAAGUACGUACGCAAGUAUGAAACUUAAAGGAAUUGGCGGGGGAGCACCACAAGGGGUGAAGCCUGCGGUUCAAUUGGAGUCAACGCCGGAA
rnacentral:rRNA from 1 species